rnacentral:rRNA from 1 species
CCUACGGGUGGCAGCAGUGAGGAAUAUUGGUCAAUGGACGAAAGUCUGAACCAGCCAAGUAGCGUGAAGGAUGACUGCCCUAUGGGUUGUAAGCUUCUUUUAUGUGGGAAUAAAAUGUUCCACGUGUGGGAUUUUGUAUGUACCAUAUGAGUAGAAAUAGGCUAACUCCAUGCCAGCAGCCGAGGUAAUACGGAGGCUCCGAGCGUUAUCCGGAUUUAUUGGGUUUAAAGGGAGCGUAGGUGGAUUGUUAAGUCAGUUGUGAAAGUCUGCGGCUCAACCGGAAAACUGCAGUGGAAACUGGCAGUCUUGAGUACAGUAGAGGUGAGCGGAAUUCGUGGUGUAGCGGUGAAAUGCGUAGAUAUCAGGAAGAACUCCGAUGGCGAAGGCAGCUCACUGGACUGCAACUGACACUGAGGCUCGAAAGCGUGGGGAGCAAACAGGAUUAGAUACCCGUGUAGUC